rnacentral:rRNA from 1 species
GACGAACGCUGGCGGCGUGCUUAACACAUGCAAGUCGAGCGGAGCGGCGAACGGGUGAGUAACGCGUGAGUAACUGCCCCCCUCUCUGGGAUAACAGUUGGAAACGGCAGCUAAUACCGGAUAGUGGGGGGUGACUCGAGUCAUAUCAGCUUGUUGGUGGGGUAGGGGCCUACCAAGGAGAAGGCGGGUAGCCGGCCUGAGAGGGCGACCGGCCACAUUGGGCUGAGAUACGGCACAAACUCCUACGGGAGGCAGCAGUUGGGAAUAUUGCACAAUGGGGGAAACCCUGAUGCAGCAACGCGCGUGCGGGAUGACGGCCUUCGGGUUGUAAACCGCUUUCAGCCAUGACGCGGUAGUGGCAGAAGAAGCACCGGCUAACUACGUGCCAGCCGCCGCGGUAAUUC